rnacentral:rRNA from 1 species
CCUGGACCAGAUGUUUUCCAAUGAUGUUGCGGUAGAGCAUGUAUGUUGGGACACGAAAGAUGGUGAACUAUGCCUGAAUAGGGUGAAGCCAGAGGAAUCUUUGGUGGAGGCUAGUAGAGAUUGCAGUCUGCAAAUCGAUCGUCAAAUUUGGGUAGAGGGGCGAAAGACUCAUCGAACCAUCUAGUAGCUGGUUCCCCCCGAAGUUUCCCUCAGGAUAGCAGAAACUCAUAUCAGAUUUAUGUGGUAAAGCGAAUGAUUAGAGGCCUUGGGGUUGAAACAACCUUAACCUAUUCUCAUUCUUUAAAUAUGUAAGAACGAGCUGUCACUUUGUUGGUCUGCUCGACGAUUGAUAGUUUCUAGUGGGCCAUUUUUGGUAAGCAGUCCUGGCGAUGCGGGAUGAACCGAACGCAAGGUUCCGGCCCCAGAAUGCACGCUCAUCAGACACCACAAAAGGUGUUAGUUCAUCUAGACAGCAGGACGGUGGCCAUGGAAGUCGGAACCCUCUAAGGAGUGUGUAACAACUCACCUGCCGAAUGAACUAGCCCUGAAAAUGGAUGGCGCUCAAGCGUGCUACCCAUACCUUGCCAUACCAUGUUGAAGUGAUGCAUGGACGAGUAGGCAGGCGCGGAGCGUGUUGUGAAGAAGCCUCGGUCAGUG